GAGAGUUUGAUCCUGGCUCAGGACGAACGCUGGCGGCGUGCUUAACACAUGCAAGUCGAACGAGACGAUUUAGAAGCUUGCUUUUAUUGAGUCGAGUGGCGAACGGGUGAGUAACGCGUAGACAACCUGCCGCAAAGAUGGGGGCAACAGUCCGAAAGGACUGCUAAUACCGAAUGUUGUAUCUCCUCCGCAUGGAAGAGAUAUUAAAGAUGGCCUCUACUUGUAAGCUAUCGCUUUGCGAUGGGUCUGCGUCUGAUUAGCUAGUUGGUGGGGCAACGGCCUACCAAGGCGACGAUCAGUAGCCGGUCUGAGAGGAUGAACGGCCACAUUGGAACUGAGACACGGUCCAGACUCCUACGGGAGGCAGCAGUGGGGAAUCUUCCGCAAUGGGCGAAAGCCUGACGGAGCAACGCCGCGUGAGUGAAGAAGGUCUUCGGAUCGUAAAGCUCUGUUGUCGGGGACGAAUGUUGAGGCCUAGAACAUAGGUUUCAAAUGACGGUACCUGACGAGGAAGCCACGGC
rnacentral:rRNA from 1 species